rnacentral:rRNA from 1 species
UACGAAGGUCCCUAGCGUUGUUCGGAAUCAUUGGGCGUAAAGCGCACGUAGGUGGCUUUGCAAGUCAGGUGUGAAAGCCUGGGGCUUAACCCCAGAAGUGCACUUGAAACUGCUUAGCUUGAGUACGGGAGAGGUGAGUGGAAUUCCUGGUGUAGUGGUGAAAUACGUAGAUAUCAGGAGGAACAUCGGUGGCGAAGGCGGCUCACUGGCCCAGUACUGACACUGAGGUGCGAAAGCGUGGGGAGCAAACAGG